rnacentral:rRNA from 1 species
UACGGGGGGGGCAAGCGUUGUUCGGAAUUACUGGGCGUAAAGGGCUCGUAGGCGGCCAACUAAGUCAGACGUGAAAUCCCUCGGCUUAACCGGGGAACUGCGUCUGAUACUGGAUGGCUUGAGAUUGGGAGAGGGAUGCGGAAUUCCAGGUGUAGCGGUGAAAUGCGUAGAUAUCUGGAGGAACACCGGUGGCGAAGGCGGCAUCCUGGACCAACACUGACGCUGAGGAGCGAAAGCAUGGGGAUCAAACAGG